GCGGAUGUGGCGGAACUGGUAGACGCACCAGAUUUAGGUUCUGGCAUCGCAAGAUGUGGAGGUUCGAGUCCUCUCAUCCGCACCA
rnacentral:tRNA from 1 species